rnacentral:rRNA from 1 species
UGAGACGUGAUGCGUAGCCGUUUGAGGCGAAGUAGAGUGAUCCUAUGCUGCCGAGAAAAGCCUCUAGUGAGUGCAUGCACGGCCCGUACCCCAAACCAACACAGGUGGUCAGGUAGAGAAUACCAAGGCGAUCGGGUGAACUGUGGUUAAGGAACUCGGCAAAAUGCCCCCGUAACUUCGGGAGAAGGGGGGCCAAACAUCCUGAAGCUCUUUUCGAGCUAGGGGUGGGUGGCCGCAGAGACCAGCGGAAAGCGACUGUUUACUAAAAACACAGGUCCAUGCGAAGUCGCAAGACGAUGUAUAUGGACUGACGCCUGCCCGGUGCUGGAACGUUAAGAGGACCGGUUAGCCAGUAAUGGCGAAGCUGAGAAUUUAAGCGCCAGUAAACGGCGGUGGUAACUAUAACCAUCCUAAGGUAGCGAAAUUCCUUGUCGGGUAAGUUCCGACCUGCACGAAUGGCGUAACGACUUUCCGGCUGUCUCAACCACAGGCCCGGCGAAAUUGCACUACGAGUAAAGAUGCUCGUUACGCGCGGCAGGACGGAAAGACCCCGGGACCUUUACUAUAGUUUGGUAUUGGUUUUCGGUUCGGCUUGUGUAGGAUAGGUGGGAGACUGUGAAGUGGUCACGCUAGUGGCUGUGGAGUCGUUGUUGAAAUACCACUCUGGUCGAAUUGGGAAUCUGAACCUCGGGCCAUGAUCUGGUUCAGGGACAGUGCCUGAUGGGUAGUUUAACUGGGGCGGUUGCCUCCUAAAGAGUAACGGAGGCGCCCAAAGGUUCCCUCAGCCUGGUUGGCAAUCAGGUGUUGAGUGCAAGUGCACAAGGGAGCUUGACUGUGAGACAGACAUGUCGAGCAGGGACGAAAGUCGGGACUAGUGAUCCGGCACCUCCUGGUGGAAGGGGUGUCGCUCAACGGAUAAAAGGUACCCCGGGGAUAACAGGCUGAUCUUGCCCAAGAGUCCAUAUCGACGGCAUGGUUUGGCACCUCGAUGUCGGCUCGUCGCAUCCUGGGGCCGGAGUAGGUCCCAAGGGUUGGGCUGUUCGCCCAUUAAAGCGGCACGCGAGCUGGGUUUAGAACGUCGUGAGACAGUUCGGUCCCUAUCCGCCGCGCGCGUAGGAUACUUGAGGAAGGCUGUCCCUAGUACGAGAGGACCGGGACGGACGAACCUCUGGUGUGCCAGUUGUUCUGCCAAGGGCAUGGCUGGUUGGCCACGUUCGGAAGGGAUAACCGCUGAAGGCAUCUAAGCGGGAAGCCUGUUCCAAGAUGAGGUAUCCCACCCCUUUGUGGGUUAAGGCCCCCAACAGACCAUUGGGUUGAUAGGCCAGAAAUGGAAGCACAGUAAUGUGUUGUCGAGUUGACUGGUACUAAUAGGCCGAGGACUUGCCUAC